GUGGGGAAUAUUGGGCAAUGGGCGAAAGCCUGACCCAGCAACGCCGCGUGAGGGAAGAAGGCCUUCGGGUUGUAAACCUCUGUCCUUGGUGACGAAAAAAAUGACGGUAGCCAAGGAGGAAGCCCCGGCUAACUACGUGCCAGCAGCCGCGGUAAUACGUAGGGGGCGAGCGUUGUCCGGAAUUACUGGGCGUAAAGGGUGCGUAGGUGGCCUUUUAAGUUGGAUGUGAAAUACCCGGGCUUAACUUGGGGGGUGCAUCUAAUACUGGAGGGCUAGAGUGCAGGAGAGGGAAGCGGAAAUCCUAGUGUAGCGGUGAAAUGCGUAGAUAUUAGGAGGAACACCAGUGGCGAAGGCGACUUACUGGACUGUAACUGACGCUGAGGCGCGAAAGUGUGGGGAGCAAACAGGAUUAGAUACCCUAGUAGUCC
rnacentral:rRNA from 1 species